rnacentral:rRNA from 1 species
CCUACGGGGGGCUGCAGUGGGGAAUUUUGGACAAUGGGGGAAACCCUGAUCCAGCCAUGCCGCGUGUAUGAAGAAGGCCUUAGGGUUGUAAAGUACUUUUGUUAGGGAAGAAAAGCUAGUUUUUAAUAAAAAUUAGUGAUGACGGUACCUAAAGAAUAAGCACCGGCUAACUACGUGCCAGCAGCCGCGGUAAUACGUAGGGUGCAAGCGUUAAUCGGAAUUAUUGGGCGUAAAGCGAGUGCAGACGGUUACUUAAGCCAGAUGUGAAAUCCCCAAGCUUAACUUGGGACGUGCAUUUGGAACUGGGUGACUAGAGUGUGUCAGAGGGAGGUAGAAUUCCACAUGUAGCGGUGGAAUGCGUAGAGAUGUGGAGGAAUACCGAUGGCGAAGGCAGCUUCCUGGGAUAACACUGACGUUGAGGCUCGAAAGCGUGGGGAGCA